rnacentral:piRNA from 1 species
UGAUCCGAUUGGAAAAUAGGG